rnacentral:lncRNA from 1 species
CAGCCUUCCAAUCCUUUGGAAUUGACACAGUUUGAAGGGAGGCAACAAACGCCUUAUAUGUGGGUGACAAAGCCUUAUAAGACACAAAAUUGCCAAUAUCAAGAUCAUCACAAGCAUCAUCCUUCGGUAGAGCCUUUCUUGCUACUUCACCCUUUCUUGCUGCUUCACGUGUAGCCUUUCGCAAUGCAAUGGGCAACUCCACUGUGUCAGAUGAGCUCGUCUCACUAUCUUGCUGCUCCCCCUGCACUCUUGCCUCAUUUCCUUGUUGCUCCCCCUGCACUCUUGCCUCAUUUCCUUGUUGCUCCC